GUCACUUUUUGGCCUUCUGGCUGAGAUCAAAAAUUAUCUACUAUUUUCAGUCAGUUGCUAUCUGACACUCUUGAUUCAAAAGCUGCAUAUUAAAUUGAUCUUUACAGCCGGGAGAAAGACCAAGAGAUUUCUCCACCCUCACCAUGCAUUGUGCCAGUAUUGUAGCACAGCACUUCUGGAAGCAGUGCACUUCCC